UCAAGCAACCUUGACAUUUCAUUAUCAUGUCCCUGAUUCAGCUUCAUUUCCAGCACCUUUGGAGGCAGCUUGUUCAAGCUAAUUGUUACCUAAAUGAAAUUUUCCUCCAUACACACACAAGGCUAUCUGGCUGCAUGAGGGUAUUCAGGUUUCUGUGUCCUGGAUAAUAUGUGAUCAGCAGGCAUCUGGCAAACAGGAAUUGCCGCCUAUGUUAUGUUUAUUUAACUGUAGUGACAUUAAUCACAUAUUUUGUGAAUUUCUUUUGCAGGAAGACACGCGGAAAGAAAUCUGAAAGCAAAUGACACAAGAACUUCUGACAGAGACACUUGAUUCAUUGGGACUUGAAUAUCAGCAACUGUUCAAAUUGAGAUGAAAUGUUUGCUUUUGUUUGCUUGAGAGAUUUUGGAUACUGGUGUGGCAGGAAGAAUACUGAGACACACAAGUGAGGGAGAUUCAGUGCGCUGACUGUGAAAACUGCUUCAACCUAAUGACUCAGCUUGGGGGAUAAAAAUCUCACCAUUCACGGUGGGGAGAGACUGUGAACACAUUUUGUCUGUAAUUUCAAAUCCAGAGCAACACAAGGAAAGCUCUCCCUAUUGGGAAACCGUGGAAAUGGCAACAAAGAAAACCCCCAUCUGAUUCAUUCAUGUCCAUUUGAGGGAGGGAAACUGCCGUUGUGGGAAAGGAUUCACUCAGUCAUCCCAGCUGCAUCCUUUACCUGAUCUGACCUACACGUGACUCCAGACCCACAGCAAUGUGGUGGACUCUUGACUACGCUCCCUCAUGCCUGGAAAAUAGGUGGGGAGAAAUUUACUUGUAUACAGAGCAUAGGUUGAAAUUGCUGAGUGAGGCAAUACUUCCUCUGGGUUAAGGCUGUACCAAGGAUCCAAUUACAAAGGGACACGUCUGUGCUGACCAAUAGUAAAGAAAGUGGGGAUGGGGAGUGUAUGCACUUUGACCUUGAACUGUUUUUAAAUGAAAUAAAUUGGUUUUCAUAUGCCUUUUUGCUGGGGAGAUCUGAAGCAGUACUGAAGUUGUGUCACAAUAAAGGUGACCUGAACUUAC